AGUCUUAUAUUCAAUAAUGAUUUAAAAUUGCAAAUUUUAAGGAGUAAUAAAGAUAAUUACUAAGGCUU
rnacentral:tRNA from 1 species